CCAGGGUUGGUCUUUGUUUCGGCCAUUGGCUUGAGAGGUUGAGAAUGUUUCGAAGCUGAAGGAGAUAAUUAUAAUAUGCACUGUUUCAGUUUGAAGUUUUGUGAAGGAAGAAAAUGAGGUGGUUUUCAAGAUGUGCGCUGAUAUUAAAUGGUGGUGAUUGGUAAUACAAAAAUACAGGUGUUGUCAAGAUUCACGUGGGAGCUCAGUGGUUAGCACACCACAGCCCGGCCAGUCGACGCUGAGUUCGAGUCUUCGGGGGUAGGGGAUGCCUGGGGCGUGGCCAAAAAAUAAAACAAAUUACAGGUGUUGUCAAACUUGCGUGGGAGCGCAGUGGUUAGAGCACCACAAAAAAAAAGGAAAAAAAAAAAAUCACCACCUUCAAGGAUUACGAGGAUUACGAUCAAACUUCAAGGAAGGCUUUCCUUUUUUAUUUAUUUUGCCUCUAUAUACAAAUUUCAUUUUUCUAAUAAUUAAUGAAUAAUUAAUGUAGAAAGGUGAGGCACCUUCUCCGGCAUACGGAAAAUAAUCCAGGAUGACGGCUAACUCAUUUGAUAUUUUUCUUUUUAUCUUUUGGUCAAUUUCUUAUUUCAUAUUUGGCAUCUGGUUGACUUUUCUUAUGUCUUU